rnacentral:misc_RNA from 1 species
GAUGAAGAACGCAGCGAAAUGCGAUACGUAAUGUGAAUUGCAAAUUCAGUGAAUCAUCGAGUCUUUGAACGCACAAUGCGCCCCCUGGUAUUCCGGGGGGCAUGCCUGUCCGAGCGUCAUUGCUGCCCUCAAGCACGGCUUGUGUGUUGGGCCCCGUCCUCCGAUCCCGGGGGACGGGCCCGAAAGGCAGCGGCGGCACCGCGUCCGGUCCUCGAGCGUAUGGGGCUUUGUCACCCGCUCUGUAGGCCCGGCCGGCGCUUGCCGAUCAACCCAAAUUUUUAUCCAGGUUGACCUCGGAUCAGGUAGGGAUACCCGCUGAACUUAAGCAUAUCAAUAAGCGGAGGA